UACGGAGGGUGCAGGCGUUGUUCGGAUUUACUGGGCGUAAAGCGCGCGCAGGUGGGUGAACAAGUCGGAAGUGAAAUCUUGAGGCUCAACCUCGAGGCUGCUCCCGAAACUGUUCGCCUAGGGACUGGUAGAGGCUGGUAGAAUUCCCGGUGUAGCGGUGGAAUGCGUAGAGAUCGGGAAGAAUACCUGUGGCGAAGGCGGCCAGCUGGGCCAGAUCCGACACUGAGGCGCGAAAGCGUGGGGAGCAAACAGG
rnacentral:rRNA from 1 species